rnacentral:rRNA from 1 species
UACGUAGGGGGCAAGCGUUGUCCGGAUUUAUUGGGCGUAAAGAGCGUGUAGGCGGCCAUGCAGGUCAGCUGUGAAAACUCGAGGCUCAACCUCGAGACGUCGGUUGAAACCGUAUGGCUAGAGUCCGGAAGAGGAGAGUGGAAUUCCCGGUGUAGCGGUGAAAUGCGCAGAUAUCGGGAAGAACACCCGUGGCGAAGGCGGCUCUCUGGGACGGUACUGACGCUGAGGCGCGAAAGCGUGGGGAGCGAACAGG